AGUCAAUUAUCAAGCCUUGAAACAACGUCCGCGUUCGCGGGCGUAUUUUUUUAAAAAAAAAUUGCGAAAUACAAUCAAUGCAAGAAAGAAAAAUUGUGAAGGCCUUGGAACUUGAAGACUAGUCUUGCAAAUAUCUAUUUCGUUGGCAAUCAUUUUGUGAAACGGAACGAUCGGUCACCUUUGGAAAGUGCGGUGGGUGCCAGCGAAUCUAAAACCGUACCCAGCUAAUCACCGCCCUCAAUAAACCAAACCUCGCGUGAAAAGACUCGCACAUCAACGGUAAACAAACAAGAGUCCGAGUGUUGACUACCGCUGCAUCAUCCAUGCAGGAAACAGUCUGGCUUUUGUGUCAUGUACUGUGUUGUCAUCCCCGAAUGCACGCAUGGUCGCACACGGGCUUUUCUGCACCAACUUGACAUCUCGUCCGUGCAACUGCUGCAAUUUAUUCCCAAACGUUUCACACUUUUUCUCCGUGCAUGAAAAAUGAUGAAAUGAACCUGGUUAUCCAACUCGAUUUUCGGGACUACAAUCAAAGAAACUGAUUUGCAGUGCAACCUAGACCUGUGCGCGACUGUCUGCUUAGUGCCAGUCACGGUGUAUGUGCGGGACAUGUGCGGAAACUAUUACUGUUCGAUGGAGCUGAACAAUUUCUAUUGAUUCGUCCAUUCAGCAAAUCGUCUGGUCGACUGGGCUUGGGGCUGUGAUUUUAAUGGCGGAUAUUACAAUCCUCGAACGAGGAAACUGACAGCAUUCGUCCCAUUGCGUACUAAAUGCGAACGUCCUCUAGAAUAAAGGUACCAACGCUAUUGUCAGCUUCCACGAAGUGACGAUCAAUGAACAGCACUGAUGACAUCAGAUGGUGAACAUCUUCAUUGAAACUACUUGAGAGGGAUCUCUGGACUUGAGCAAACAGAUUUUAUGACUUUAAGGAGCUGGCCGGAUUCAGUGCCUUUUUAGCGAUUACACAGUAGAGGUAUACCGUGUCAUCGUCACAUCUCCAUAGAUCAUAAAGACACUGCCAUGAAGAAUGGCCGGUCAUUGGUGUGAGAUACUUUGGACUGCAGAUUUCUCUGUUCGAUUCCUGAACUUUACACCCAUCCAGU